GGAUUACAGCUCACUGGUAGGGCACAUGCUUAGAAUGCAUGAGGUCCUGGGUUCAAUCCGCAGUACCUCCA
rnacentral:tRNA from 1 species